GGGGACAUACGUGAACGGGAAACAUAAAGACAUCGACAAAGACUUUGUUUUGUUGUUUACCGUGAUGGACGAAACACGAAGCUGGUUGUUGAACGAAAACAUCAAGGAAUAUUGCAGUCCAAAUUUUACCAUGCCCCAAGAUGAGGCGGAAUUCAAAGCAUUCAGGGAUAGUAACAAUAUUCACAUGAUUAAUGGUUAUAUCUUUGGGAAUGUGCCUGGCUUGGAGAUGUGUGUUGGUGAUAGAGUUGAUUGGCAUCUUUUUGGUAUGGGGAGUGAAAC
rnacentral:lncRNA from 1 species